rnacentral:rRNA from 1 species
UACGUAGGGGGCAAGCGUUGUCCGGAAUCAUUGGGCGUAAAGCGCGCGUAGGCGGCCCGGUAAGUCCGCUCUGAAAGUCCAGGGCUCAACCCUGGAAAGCGGGUGGAUACUGCCGGGCUAGAAUCCGGAAGAGGCGAGUGGAAUUCCUGGUGUAGCGGUGAAAUGCGCAGAUAUCAGGAAGAACACCUAUGGCGAAGGCAGCUCUCUGGGACGGUACUGACGCUGAGACGCGAAAGCGUGGGGAGCGAACAGG